rnacentral:rRNA from 1 species
ACGAACGCUGGCGGCGUGCCUAAUACAUGCCAGUCGAGCGGACGGAUGGGAGCUUGCUCCCAGACCGUCAGCGGCGGACGGGUGAGUAACACGUGGGCAACCUGCCUGUAAGACUGGGAUAACUCCGGGAAACCGGGGCUAAUACCGGAUAACUCUUUCCCUCACAUGAGGGAAAGCUGAAAGAUGGCAUCUCGCUAUCACUUACAGAUGGGCCCGCGGCGCAUUAGCUAGUUGGUGAGGUAACGGCUCACCAAGGCGACGAUGCGUAGCCGACCUGAGAGGGUGAUCGGCCACACUGGGACUGAGACACGGCCCAGACUCCUACGGGAGGCAGCAGUAGGGAAUCUUCCGCAAUGGACGAAAGUCUGACGGAGCAACGCCGCGUGAGUGAUGAAGGUUUUCGGAUCGUAAAACUCUGUUGUCAGGGAAGAACAAGUACCGGAGUAACUGCCGGUACCUUGACGGUACCUGACCAGAAAGCCACGGCUAACUACGU